rnacentral:rRNA from 1 species
CAUGGCUUUUUUGAUAAUAAUAGAAGAUCUAUCCUGCUCAAUGAUAAUUUAAAUAGCCGCAGUAUUUUAACUGUGCAAAGGUAGCGUAAUAAUUAGCUUUUUAAUUAAAAGCUUGUAUGAAUGGUUGGACGAGAAUAUUACUGUCUCUUUUUAAUGAUUUGUUGAAUUUUAUUUUUAAGUUAAAAAGCUUAAAUAUUUUUAAAAGACGAGAAGACCCUAUAGAGUUUAAUAAUUUAAUUAUAUUAAUAGUUAGAAAAUUUUUUAUUAUUGAAUUAUUUAGUUGGGGUGACUGAAAGAUUAAUAUAAUUCUUUUAUAUUUUAAUUAAUAAUUAUUAAUUUUUUUAUCUAUAAUUUUAAAUAUAAAAUAAAUUACCUUAGGGAUAACAGCGUAAUUUUCUUUUAAAGUUCUUAUUGAAAAGAAAGUUUGCGACCUCGAUGUUGGAUUAAAAUAAAUUUUUGGCGCAGUAGCUUAAAAAUUAGGUCUGUUCGACCUUUAAAAUUUUACAUGAUCUGAGUUUAAACCGGCGUAAGCCAGGUUGGAUUCUAUCUUUAAUUAAAUUAUAUAUUUUAGUACGAAAGGACCACUUAUAUAUUAAAUUUUAAUUG